UACGUAGGGUGCAAGCGUUGUCCGGAAUUAUUGGGCGUAAAGAGCUCGUAGGCGGUCUGUCGCGUCGGAUGUGAAACCUCGGGGCUCAACCCCGAGCCUGCAUUCGAUACGGGCAGACUAGAGUUCGGUAGGGGAGACUGGAAUUCCUGGUGUAGCGGUGAAAUGCGCAGAUAUCAGGAGGAACACCGGUGGCGAAGGCGGGUCUCUGGGCCGACACUGACGCUGAUGCGCGAAAGCCAGGGGAGCGAACGGG
rnacentral:rRNA from 1 species